GGCCCUCUUUAAUUAAAGGGAUUCUCAGCACUCAACUUUUUUUUUUUUUCCCAACAAGUAGCCAAGUCUAAUGAAGUAGCCCUCCCAAUUGCAGCAAUGCAAGAAUUACUAUGGUGAGAGCUAGGAACUUAGUGGAGUGUUAAAAGCUAGUUUUGCAAGGUUUAUGGUAUCUAGAAUAUAAACAUCAGGUGAGUGAUAAAUGUAUGGUUCUUUUGAAUGUUUUUUUCUUUCAUGCUUGAACUCGGAAAAAAAUAUUUCCAUGUAACAUUCAAUCCAGCAGGUGCCAAUGAAUGCAGAGAG